rnacentral:lncRNA from 12 species
CGGGCCCUGUGGGCGGGCGCGGGGCGCGAACGCCGGGAUCGCCCCCUGCCGGAAGGGCGGGCCCGACCGGGGCCGUGAGGGGCGCGCCGCGCCCUCGCUCUCGGGUAUAGAUAAUAGUGGGGAAACACCUUACUGUGCAGGGCCAGUGGCGCAAUGGAUAACGCGUCUGACUACGGAUCAGAAGAUUGUAGGUUCGACUCCUGCCUGGCUCGGACUUUUUUUUUUUUUUUUUUUCCUUGUUCCCCCCCCCCCCCCCCCCCCCCCCCCCCCCCCCCCCCCUUUUUUUUUUUUUUUUUUCCUUGUUUUCGCCCUCCGUCGCGCGUUGAAGGCGGUACAGUUGUCCAUCUCAUUUCACCAUCCUGGCUUCUUACAUUCCUCUUCUUUUUUCUCUUCUUUCUCCCAUCUGAUAUCAUCCUGACUUCGUCAAGAACUGGAGUGACAGAACAAGGAGUAACAGGAGAAACCUUCUGGCCCUGGGAGAGGAGCAGUGUACUCCACAUUGGCCUGACACUCCAUGGUUUCUCCCACAGAUGA